GGUUCCAUGGUGUAAUGGUUAGCACUCUGGACUCUGAAUCCAGCGAUCUGAGUUUAAACCUAGCUGCUUCA
rnacentral:tRNA from 1 species